rnacentral:rRNA from 1 species
GACGAACGCUGGCGGCGUGCUUAACACAUGCAAGUCGAACGGAAAGGCCCUGCUUUUGUGGGGUGCUCGAGUGGCGAACGGGUGAGUAAUACGUGAGUAACCUGCCCUUGACUUUGGGAUAACUUCAGGAAACUGGGGCUAAUACCGGAUAGGAGCUCCUGCUGCAUGGUGGGGGUUGGAAAGUUUCGGCGGUUGGGGAUGGACUUGCGGCUUAUCAGCUUGUUGGUGGGGUAGUGGCUUACCAAGGCUUUGACGGGUAGCCGGCCUGAGAGGGUGACCGGCCACAUCGGGACUGAGAUACGGCCCAGCCUCCUACGGGAGGCAGCGGUGGGGAAUAUUGCACAAUGGGCGGAAGCCUGAUGCAACAACGCCGCGUGCGGGAUGACGGCCUGCGGGUUGUAAACCGCUUUCGCCUGUGACGAAGCGUGAGUGACGGUAAUGGGUAAAGAAGCACCGGCUAACUACGUG